GACCCUGAGGUAUUUUGUGUGGUCGGACACAAAUAAUCAGGAGCUGCUGCCCCCCUCCUCCCAGGACAGCAGCAGCCACCUGCACUCAGCGCAGCACUCGGGGAUGGAUGGAUGGCCGUGUGCUCGGGCUGUACACACCAGUCCUUACAGUCUGCACCUUUGUACAGGUUACAGAUAGGAAGGAAGUGGAGGCCCCUGCUACUGUCACCCACAUGGAGGGCAGGAGUCUCCGGGCACUGGUCUUCAGGGGGCUGCACUGCUCAGAUAAAUACUGGGAUGAUGUCCAGCUAUCUAAUGCUAAAGGAACCAGAGGGAACCAAGUUGUCUGUCCCGAGGCGGCUCGUAUAUACAGAGUUAUGCUCAUACGUAUUAUAUAUACAUUUUGCCCCCUUAAAGGGAACCGAGCUCUAGCUUUGGGGCCACUUAACCAGCAACAGGGGUCUAGCAUCCCAAACCUGCCCAUAUAAAAACGGUCUGUUUCGCAUUGUGUAGCAAAAGAAUUUGUAACUUACCGGGGCUCAUCCCCAGUUUCAUCAGGGGCAUGUGCACUGCGCACAUGAAGAGGAGGACAGCACACUUCAUUGUGCAUGUGCAGGAAAGCCAUGUGCACUGCCCUAGAAUUCAAUGCACAUGCCCCAGCUGCAUAAUGAUACAUGAGCGGUGAUGUGCAUUGUCCUAGGAUUCAUCUGUGCAAUGUGCAUGCCCCAGCUGCAUUACAGUGCAUGCCCCAGCUGCAUUACAGUGCAUGCGCAGUGAAGCGAUGAGCACUAUUUUGCAUUGUGCAGUAAAAUAUUUUGUAAUUUACCAGGUCACAUCUCCAGCCACAUUGGGCGUACAUGCAUUGCACAUAUGAAGCAGAGGACUGUACAUCUUAGUUCAUUGUGCAUGCGCAGGAAAGUGAUGUGCACUGUCCUAGGAUUCAUCAUGUGCACUCCCCAGCUACAUAAUGAUACAUGUACAGGGAAGUGAUGUGCACUGUCCUAGGAUUUAGUGCACACAUCCAGCUGUUAUAACAGUGCAUGCGCAGUGAAGUGAUGUCUACUCUCCUAGGAUUCAUCAUGUGCACUCCCCAGCUACAUAAUGAUACAUGUACAGGGAAGUGAGGUGCACUGUCCUAAUAUUUAUCUGUGCCAUGUACAUGCCCCAGCUGCAUACAGAUGCAUGCACAGUGAUGCGAGGUAUACUAUCCUUUCUUCAUCUGGUGCAAUGUGCAUGCCUCAGCUAUAUAAUGACACAUGCACAGGGAAAUGAGACAUACUGUUCGUGGCUUUAUCAAGGCAAUGCACUUGCGCCUGAGCUUAUCUCAAGUAAGGCCUCAUGCACACAACUGUAUUUUUCUGCAGUCUGCUAUCUGUUUGCAAACGGAGAAUCAGAUAUGGCUGUGUGCAUGUACUUUACUACACAAUGCAGAAACGCUACACUCCAGCUGCCUGAAGACAUCUAGUGACCGCUUCCCCUUGAUUUUUCGUAGUUAGCAGUAGGGUUCAGGCCAAUAUCUGCAUUGAGUUUUUAUAGUCUCCUACUGCAUGGGUUCUGCAAAUUUCUAAGACCUCAAAAACCUGGCAGAACCACCUGGUGAAUGGAGCUGUGGACACUCUGUGUGCCUCCAUAUGGAGCCAUCUUUCAGAGUUGUUCUCUCCUAAAAGCGUCUAUGGGAAAAUAGCUCUGUAAUAAAGUAUCCACAGGGGUGCACCUAGCUUUUCUGCUGCCUGAGGCGAAAACCUAACCCCUUUGCCAAAAUGGCCCAGGGCCCUUCUGCUGCCCCCCUCUUGCCCCUACCUGGUGCUGCCUGAGGUGAUCGCCUCACCUGGCCUCAUUGUUGGUGCCCCCCUGAAUGUCCAAUACAACACGGUGCAUUUAUUCUUCUGCUUACCUAUACAGGUAUACAGAGGUCCAGUAAAGCCAGUAGAUAUGACAGA